rnacentral:rRNA from 1 species
CGCGUAGGCGGCUUUAUAAGUCUGGAGUGAAAGUCCUCUUUUCAAGGGAGGAAUUGCUUUGGAAACUAUAGAGCUUGAGUGCAGGAGAGGUUAUCGGAAUUCCCGGUGUAGCGGUGAAAUGCGUAGAUAUCGGGAGGAACAUCGGUGGCGAAGGCGGGUAACUGGACUGCAACUGACGCUGAGGCGCGAAAGCGUGGGUAGCAAACA